rnacentral:tmRNA from 1 species
UGGCAAGACCUUCGCUUUCCCCACCGCCCCCAUGGCGAUGGCUGCGUAAGCUAGGUCACUGACCCCCUCAAAAGGGUCACGGCCCGUUCGAAUGGUGCUCGCAGGUUCGACGGUAGCUGACAUAGACUGAAGGGCUGCGGCGACGUGACGCCGAUACCGUCGCCUAAGGUGAUCGGCUAGCCGGGCAUAGGAAUCCCGUUGCACGGAGUCCGCCCGGUGAACCAUCAAAUGUGCAACUAUGCCUGUAGACGUCUCUGGACAAAUGUUUCGGACGCGGGUUCGAUUCCCGCCAUCUCCACCU